rnacentral:rRNA from 1 species
CCUACGGGAGGCAGCAGUAGGGAAUCUUCCACAAUGGGCGCAAGCCUGAUGGAGCAACACCGCGUGAGUGAAGAAGGGUUUCGGCUCUUAAAGCUCUGUUGUUGGAGAAGAACGUCCGUGAGAGUAACUGUUCACGCAUUGACGGUAUCCAACCAGAAAGUCACGGCUAACUACGUGCCAGCCGCCGCGGUAAUACGUAGGUGGCAAGCGUUAUCCGGAUGUAUUGGGCGUAAAGCGAGCGCAGGCGGUUGCUUAGGUCUGAUGUGAAAGCCUUCGGCUUAACCGAAGAAGUGCAUCGGAAACCGGGCGACUUGAGUGCAGAAGAGGACAGUGGAACUCCAUGUGUAGCGGUGGAAUGCGUAGAUAUAUGGAAGAACACCAGUGGCGAAGGCGGCUGUCUGGUCUGCAACUGACGUUGAGGCUCGAAAGCAUGGGUAGCGAACAGGAUUAGAUACCCUAGUAGUC